ACUAGAGACCAGGCCUGUUGUGACCCCGGGGCCGGUGAGCUGCUCUGGAGGUCCAGGAUGGCCCUGGGCCAAGAUGCGCCCUCAGUGAAGCCCCACCGCUCCUGUUCUGAGGCUCCAUAGUCCAACCCAUAGCAGGGCAGCCCUCCCGUCUUUUUCCCCACAAUCAGGCUGCCACACUGGCAGGGGGCCCUCCCCUAGAGUCACAGCUGGCCAGGCCUGUCCUUGCUCAAACCCUGUCCGUGGCUCCCAUGUCCCCAGACCCUGGGUUGGGCGCUUGGGCCUUUCCUGAAGUGCCCGACUUGUCUUCCGGUCCCGCUGCACCACCUGCCCCGCUCCAGACCCCUCAGAGGCCAUGUCUGUGCCUCUCGCCACUCCCCGUUUUGGAGACUCUCUCUUCAUAAGCUUGUAGGCUUUGACUUCCCCUUCAGGUUUCCUUUCCACCUGCCACUUCCUCCAGGAAGAUUGCCCUGGGCCUCGGGUGGAGCUGACUGUCUCCUCUCCGGAGUGCACACAGAGCUGGCUUCUCUGGUGUCAGGAGUUGUCUAUAUGGAUGGCACCCAGCCAAGAGCCUGCCCCACAGCAGGUGCUCAGGGAGUGUGUGCGGACCCCCUGACUGAGAGCGUGUAGAAGGAGGCCUCCCCAGCCGAGGAGGGGUGCGCUGGGCAGCCUUGACUACUCCAUCAGACCGGAGGUCCUGAGGGGUCCCCUGGCCUUCAGGACCUCCCCUCCUCGGGUUCUGGGAAGUUAAAGACACAACCUUCAGGGAAGAGGGCUGUCUGGAAGUGAGAGGUGCCCUUUCUGCCGGGACUGUGGGACUCCUGCCAGUGGGCAGCAGUGUGGCCUUGCUUCUCUCCCUUGAAGAUUCCCAGCCAUGGUCACCCUCACCCCCACCCUCUCCUUCAGCCCACGUGGGGCCCCGCCUGGGGGCUGCACCGGCUCAACCAGUCUGGCCAGCCGGGCAGCCCGGCCUCCUGUGCAAUCCGGUGUGUUGUUAGCCUGUCCAGGGCCAGGAGAGAGAACAGCCACUGGGGUUGGCUGCUGGGCCGAAGCUCCGGGGGCUACGUGCUUAGCUGAGGGCCAGACCUCCCCUUCUGGGUCCAUGGCCCAUGGCUUUCUAGAGCCCGUGCUGGAUCGGCCGAACCCCCAGCAGGGCAGCCAGCUCCCGGGGCCCUCACAGCGUGUCUUCGCCGAGCCUCCUAGUGCCUGGGAGGGAGGUGUUGUCAUCCUCCUUACCCAGGUGAGAAAAUCGGUUGAGAGAGUUUAAUUCUGUUGCCCAAUGUCACAGAGCUGGUAGUGGCACAACUGGGACUCGACCCAGGGAGGGCUGGGGUCAUUUCAGAUGAGAGCCACAAAGGGGUCACCACAUCCUCCUACAGAUUCUGAAAGUCCUAGCCUGGGGCCCAGACCUCCCGGAGCUCCCCCGGUAGGAAAUCCCCAUCCCACCUGGCUGGUAGGAAAUCCCCAUGGUUUCCAGAACCCUGCAGGAGGCGGCCGGUCCCGACCAGCUGGCUGGGUCUGCCUGCUUGCUCUGAGGUUCUGGGAGGUCCUCCUCCUGGGACAGUUUGGGGAGAUGGCUGUGAAGUGAGUGACCUGGUGCCGCAGU